rnacentral:rRNA from 1 species
GACAAACGCUGGCGGCGUGCUUAACACAUGCAAGUCGAACGGUUCACCUUCGGGUGGAUAGUGGCGGACGGGUGAGUAACACGUAGUUGACCUGCCCUAUAGUGGGGAAUAACGUCUCGAAAGAGGUGCUAAUACCGCAUAAGCUCACAGUCGUUGGAUUGUGAGGAAACCUUGGCCGUAAGGUCCGGGGCUAAAGGAGGGGACUGCGGCGGAUUAGCUAGAUGGUGGGGUAACGGCCUACCAUGGCGACGAUCCGUAGCUGGUCUGAGA